rnacentral:rRNA from 1 species
AGAGUUUGAUCAUGGCUCAGAUUGAACGCUGGCGGAAUGCUUUACACAUGCAAGUCGAGCGGCAGCGCGGGGCAACCUGGCGGCGAGCGGCGAACGGGUGAGUAAUGCAUCGGAACAUGUCCAUUCGUGGGGGAUAGCCCGGCGAAAGCCGGAUUAAUACCGCAUAAGCCCUGAGGGGGAAAGUGGGGGACCGCAAGGCCUCACGCGAAUGGGUUGGCCGAUGUCCGAUUAGCUAGUUGGUGAGGUAAAGGCUCACCAAGGCGAUGAUCGGUAGCUGGUCUGAGAGGAUGAUCAGCCACACUGGGACUGAGACACGGCCCAGACUCCUACGGGAGGCAGCAGUGGGGAAUUUUGGACAAUGGGGGAAACCCUGAUCCAGCCAUUCCGCGUGAGUGAAGAAGGCCUUCGGGUUGUAAAGCUCUUUUGUCCGGAACGAAACGGUUUGCGUAAAUAGCGCCGACUACUGACGGUACCGGAAGAAUAAGCACCGGCUAACUACGUGCCAGCAGCCGCGGUAAUACGUAGGGUGCGAGCGUUAAUCGGAAUUACUGGGCGUAAAGCGUGCGCAGGCGGUUUUGUAAGCCAGAUGUGAAAUCCCCGGGCUUAACCUGGGAAUGGCAUUUGGGACUGCAAGGCUGGAGUGUGGCAGAGGAGACUGGAAUUCCUGGUAGCAGUGAAAUGCGUAGAUAUCAGGAGGAACACCGAUGGCGAAGGCAGGUCUCUGGGCUGACACUGACGCUCAUGCACGAAAGCGUGGGGAGCAAACAGGAUUAGAUACCCCAGUAGUCC